AUUGAACGCUGGCGGCAGGCCUAACACAUGCAAGUCGAGCGAGCGGCGGACGGGUGAGUAAUGUCUGGGAUACUGCCUGAUGGAGGGGGAUAACUACUGGAAACGGUAGCUAAUACCGCAUACUAUCAGAUGUGCCCAGGUGGGUUGAGCUAGUAGGUGGGGUAACGGCUCACCUAGGCGACGAUCGCUAGCUGGUCUGGGAGGAUGACCAGCCACACUGGAACUGAGACACGGUCCAGACUCCUACGGGAGGCAGCAGUGGGGAAUAUUGCACAAUGGGCGAAAGCCUGAUGCAGCCAUGCCGCGUGUAUGAAGAAGGCCUUCGGGUUGUAAAGUACUUUCAGCAGGAAAGCGUUACCCGCAGAAGAAGCACCGGCUAACUACGUGCCAGCAGCCGCGGUAAUAC
rnacentral:rRNA from 1 species